rnacentral:rRNA from 1 species
GAUGAACGCUGGCGGCGUGCCUAAUACAUGCAAGCCGAGCGAAUGGAUUAAGAGCUUGCUCUUAUGAAGUUAGCGGCGGACGGGUGAGUAACACGUGGGUAACCUGCCCAUAAGACUGGGAUAACUCCGGGAAACCGGGGCUAAUACCGGAUAACAUUUUGAACCGCAUGGUUCGAAAUUGAAAGGCGGCUUCGGCUGUCACUUAUGGAUGGACCCGCGUCGCAUUAGCUAGUUGGUGAGGUAACGGCUCACCAAGGCAACGAUGCGUAGCCGAGCGGAGAGGGUGAUCGGCCACACUGGGACUGAGACACGGCCCAGACUCCUACGGGAGGCAGCAGUAGGGAAUCUUCCGCAAUGGACGAAAGUCUGACGGAGCAACGCCGCGUGAGUGAUGAAGGCUUUCGGGUCGUAAAACUCUGUUGUUAGGGAAGAACAAGUGCUAGUUGAAUAAGCUGGCACCUUGACGGUAUCUAACCAGAAAGCCACGGCUAACUACGUGCCAGCAGCCGCCGUAA